CGUUCGAUUGAAAUUAGGAAGCAAUCCUAACCAUUUUGGAUUCAACAAACUAAAUCUUAAUCCUAGCCCAAGUAGUAAAGCCCAAGUUAAAUAAACUACCAAGUAAACCCAUAACCCUCUCCUUGUUUUUACUUCACGUAAAACUCAAAUCCCAAACCCUCCUUAUUCCUCCUCCUUCACGUGAAACCAACCUCCUCCCUCUCCUCCUUGCAGCCCCCUCUCCGCCUGCGUCAACCACCAUCAACAGCCGCCGCCGCGACCACCCUUCCACCUGCACGCCGCCGUCGCAUUCGUCACUACGCCCAGCCACGCACCACCGUGUGCGGCUCUGCCACCAGCCGUCCUCCGUCGAUACCUCUUCCUCUUCCCUUUCGUUUUCUUUUGUUCCCUUUCGUUCCCCUUUCCCUUGUUGUUUAUUCAUCCUCCUCACUCGUGUUAUGUUGUUGCGGCAGCCACCACCGCGCGCACCACCGCCCCAUUGCCGCGCGCACCACCGCCCCAUUGCCGCCGCGCCGCCGCGCCGCUGAACCACCUCCGGCCAGCCUUCUUUCCUUCUCUCUUUUGGCGGAGAAUUCUUUGUGGGCGACUUUUGAAAGUGUUAAAGUGGCCUAUCAGUUUGUUUACACAAGUCUCUAAGGACCAAUAAGCGUUGCCCAUCUACAGGUUUGAAGAUGAUGCAUCAUUGGGAUCGGGAUUAGAGAGCUUGUAGUUCUAUUCGUUUAAUUAAGUGAUUUAAUUUGUUAACUUGGAUUUGAAAUUUGUCGUACUAUUCGUAUUUCCUUAAUUCAGUUAAUUGGUUUGGACCUAAUAUGUAAUAGAUUAUUUAUGAACCUAAAAGUUAGUUUUAUGUUUUCCGCUGCAAAAUUCUGAAUAAGCCGUAACGUUUUCACACGGGCGA